AUGAAUGCUUUAGAAACUUUGUAAGCUCUUCAAUUUUCACAACGGGAUCUUCUAACCUAGUCGCGUUUUUUACAUCUUAAUUACAACUUAAUACCCUCUACCUGAUUAAGGCAUUUGGAGAACAAUCAACUACAAGGAUCGGUUCCUACAAAAUCACUGGGAGAAUUUCCUAAUCUGCAUGAAGUACUUCUCCAAAAUAACAAGCUCCAAGGCAACACCCAAACAUCUCUGACAAAGAAAGAUGGUGUUAACCUCAAGCUCACUUCGGCAAAUCAUCUGUCGGAGGAAGAAUAAUGUAAAACAUCAGAAGUUACGACUAUGUUAGCUUGGAAGGUGCGCUGGAGCUUUUCAUUUAUCAGUGAUUGUAUAAUACGAAUUUCGGAAUGUGAAUGUCACCAAGGAGAGAUUGAAGGGAGAAUUAUAUUCAACUGAUGCUUGUGUACUUUUUCUUAUUGGUAUUGUAACUUGUGAAUUGUAUCUAUCAUUCUACUAAUCCACAAGUUAUGUGAAGCUAAAUUGUAAA